AUGUGGCUCUCUUCUAUCUUCUUGUUCUUGUCAGAACCUUGUUCUUUUCAUGAUUAUCCAUUUAAUCGGAGUGUUGUGACCUUUUUGCUCAAGUUCUUUUCGCCUUAUCAAGCCUUGCAUCUCUUUUCAAUCGGAGUGCUGUCUGAGAUCUUUCUUACCCCUUGUUCUAUUCAUUCAAUAGUUCCGGAGGCAGUGGGUUGUGAUUUCAUCAAGUAUCCUCUCAUCUUAUCAAGUUCUUAUUCAAUUCCUUUUACUUUCAGUCGGAGUGUUGUCCAAAUUAUAUCAUUUUUAAUCCUUCUCUAUCUUGUUUUAACCAGAGUGGUUUCAAUAUAUAUAUUGCCCUUCAACCUCAUGGUUUUUCGCAAUGUUCUUUGUUUCUCUUUUCUAACAGAGUGUUUUCGACUUUGUUCACCUUCGUUGUUUUGUUUCUCAAAUUUGUUCAACCUCGCAAGGUUCUUUGGUUUCACUCAUUCGUCAAAGAAGCAACUUAGUUUUACCUCUUCUCUUCCUUUUCCAUUUCCCCCGGUGCCAUUCUAG
rnacentral:rRNA from 1 species